GAAGAGUUGGCUUAGUGGUUAAGAGUACUGGCUGAUCUUCCAGAGGACCUGGGUUUGAUUCCCAGUGUCUACN
rnacentral:tRNA from 1 species